rnacentral:rRNA from 1 species
ACGAACGCUGGCGGCGUGCCUAAUACAUGCAAGUCGAACGCUUCUUUUUCCACCGGAGCUUGCUCCACCGGAAAAAGAGGAGUGGCGAACGGGUGAGUAACACGUGGGUAACCUGCCCAUCAGAAGGGGAUAACACUUGGAAACAGGUGCUAAUACCGUAUAACAAUCGAAACCGCAUGGUUUUGAUUUGAAAGGCGCUUUCGGGUGUCGCUGAUGGAUGGACCCGCGGUGCAUUAGCUAGUUGGUGAGGUAACGGCUCACCAAGGCGACGAUGCAUAGCCGACCUGAGAGGGUGAUCGGCCACAUUGGGACUGAGACACGGCCCAAACUCCUACGGGAGGCAGCAGUAGGGAAUCUUCGGCAAUGGACGAAAGUCUGACCGAGCAACGCCGCGUGAGUGAAGAAGGUUUUCGGAUCGUAAAACUCUGUUGUUAGAGAAGAACAAGGAUGAGAGUAACUGUUCAUCCCUUGACGGUAUCUAACCAGAAAGCCACGGCUAACUACGUGCCAGCAGCCGCGGUAAUACGUAGGUGGCAAGCGUUGUCCGGAUUUAUUGGGCGUAAAGCGAGCGCAGGCGGUUUCUUAAGUCUGAUGUGAAAGCCCCCGGCUCAACCGGGGAGGGUCAUUGGAAACUGGGAGACUUGAGUGCAGAAGAGGAGAGUGGAAUUCCAUGUGUAGCGGUGAAAUGCGUAGAUAUAUGGAGGAACACCAGUGGCGAAGGCGGCUCUCUGGUCUGUAACUGACGCUGAGGCUCGAAAGCGUGGGGAGCAAACAGGAUUAGAUACCCUGGUAGUCCACACUGUAAACGAUGAAUACUAGGUGUGCGGGGACUGACCCCCUGCGUGCCGCAGUAAACACAAUAAGUAUUCCACCUGGGGAGUACGCCGGCAACGGUGAAACUCAAAGGAAUUGACGGGGGCCCGCACAAGCGGUGGAGCAUGUGGUUUAAUUCGAAGCAACGCGAAGAACCUUACCAGGUCUUGACAUCCUUUGACCACUCUAGAGAUAGAGCUUCCCCUUCGGGGGCAAAGUGACAGGUGCUGCAUGGUUGUCGUCAGCUCGUGUCGUGAGAUGUUGGGUUAAGUCCCGCAACGAGCGCAACCCUUAUUGUUAGUUGCCAUCAUUUAGUUGGGCACUCUAGCAAGACUGCCGGUGACAAACCGGAGGAAGGUGGGGAUGACGUCAAAUCAUCAUGCCCCUUAUGACCUGGGCUACACACGUGCUACAAUGGGAAGUACAACGAGUCGCAAAGUCGCGAGGCUAAGCUAAUCUCUUAAAGCUUCUCUCAGUUCGGAUUGUAGGCUGCAACUCGCCUACAUGAAGCCGGAAUCGCUAGUAAUCGCGGAUCAGCACGCCGCGGUGAAUACGUUCCCGGGCCUUGUACACACCGCCCGUCACACCACGAGAGUUUGUAACACCCGAAGUCGGUGAGGUAACCUUUUGGAGCCAGCCGCCUAAGGUGGGAUAGAUGAUUGGGGUG